rnacentral:rRNA from 1 species
GACGAAGGUGGCAGGCGUUGCUGGGAAUCACUGGGCUUAAAGGGCGCGUAGGCGGUCGAACAAGUCGGGUGUGAAAGCCCUCGGCUCAACCGAGGAACCGCAUUCGAUACUGGUCGGCUGGAGUGCGGGAGGGGAGAGUGGAACUCCAGGUGUAGCGGUGAAAUGCGUAGAUAUCUGGAGGAACGGCGGUGGCGAAAGCGACUCUCUGGCCCGCAACUGACGCUGAGGCGCGAAAGCCAGGGGAGCAAACGGG